UUGAGAAGUUGCAGAAGGAAAAACUUGAACUGCAAAUAAUCUUGGACAUGUAUGGACAGGAAGGUUAUGAUACCAGAGAUAUGCUAGAAAUAAAAGAAUCUGAACGUAAGGCACACUCACAAGCUGAAGUCCUCAGGAGUGCUCUGGAUGAACAUAGUCUGGAGUUGAGAGUCAAAGCUGCUAAUGAGGCUGAGGCUGCCUGCCAACAAAGGCUUUCUACUGCUGAAGCUGAGAUAGUGGAACUAAGGGCCAAACUUGAUACUUCUGAACGAGAUGUAUGGGAGCUCACAGAAGCUAUUAAAAGUAAAGAUAGGGAGGCUGAGGCAUAUAUCUCUGAAAUUGAGACCAUUGGUCAAGCAUAUGAAGAUAUGCAAACACAAAACCAACAUCUUCUGCAACAAGUGACAGAGAGGGAUGAUUACAAUAUCAAGCUUGUUUCCGAGAGUGUGAAGACAAAGCAGGCACAGAGCGCUCUACUUUCUGAGAAGCAAGCCCUAUCAAAGCAACUUCAACAAGUUAAUGCAUCAGUGGAAUAUUUAAAAAUGAGAAUUGCCCAGAGUGAGGACCAGAUGAAAGUUUGUCUGGCAGAGGCAAUUAGAUCUACCGAAGAAGACAGACAUGUUGCUGUCAACCUUGAAACUGCACGGUGGGAAUUGAUGGACGCUGAGAAGGAGUUGAAAUGGCUAAAAUAUGCUGGUUCUUCUUCUGAGAAGGAGUAUGAGCAAAUCCAGAAGAAGAUAGAUGAAGUUCAAACUGAAUUACACAAUGAAAGAAGUGAAAGGAAGAAACUCGAGGAAGAGCUCAAGGAGUUGAAUGAUAAGAUUGCUGAGAUGAGUUCUGAAAGUGGUGAAGCUGCUAUACAACGACUCCAGGAAGAGUUAAAAGAGUGCAAAAGUAUGCUCAAGUGCAGCGUGUGUUCUGACCGGCCAAAGGAGGUGGUAAUAGUGAAAUGCUAUCAUUUGUUCUGCAAUCCAUGUAUACAGAGGAACUUAGAGAUUCGCCAUCGGAAAUGCCCUGGUUGCGGAACUGCAUUUGGUCAGAGUGAUGU
rnacentral:misc_RNA from 1 species